rnacentral:rRNA from 1 species
GACGAACGCUGGCGGCGUGCUUAACACAUGCAAGUCGAACGGAAAGGCCCUGCUUUUGUGGGGUGCUCGAGUGGCGAACGGGUGAGUAACACGUGAGUAACCUGCCCUUGACUUUGGGAUAACUUCAGGAAACUGGGGCUAAUACCGGAUAGGAGCUCCUGAUGCAUGGUGGGGGUUGGAAAGUUUCGGCGGUUGGGGAUGGACUCGCGGCUUAUCAGCUUGUUGGUGGGGUAGUGGCUUACCAAGGCUUUGACGGAUAGCCGGCCUGAGAGGGUGACCGGCCACAUGGGGAAUGCGAUACGGCCCAGACUCCUACGGGAGGCAGCAGUGGAGAAUCGUGCACAAUGGGCGGAAGCCUGAUACAGCCACGCCGCGUGCGGGAUGCCGUCCUUCUGGUUGUAAACCGCUUUCGCCUGUGACGAAGCGUGAGUGACGGUACUGGGUAAAGAAGCACCGGCUAACUACGUG